AUUGAACGCUGGCGGCAGGCCUAACACAUGCAAGUCGAGCGGAUGAAGGGGGCUUGCUCCUGGAUUCAGCGGCGGACGGGUGAGUACUGCCUAGGAAUCUGCCUGGUAGUGGGGGAUAACGUCCGGACACGGGCGCUAAUACCGCAUACGUCCUGAGGGAGAAAGUGGGGGAUCUUCGGACCUCACGCUAUCAGGUGAGCCUAGGUCGGAUUAGCUAGUUGGUGGGGUAAAGGCCUACCAAGGCGACGAUCCGUAACUGGUCUGAGAGGAUGAUCAGUCACACUGGAACUGAGACACGGUCCAGACUCCUACGGGAGGCAGCAGUGGGGAAUAUUGGACAAUGGGCGAAAGCCUGAUCCAGCCAUGCCGCGUGUGUGAAGAAGGUCUUCGGAUUGUAAAGCACUUUAAGUUGGGAGGAAGGGCAGUAAGUUAAUACCUUGCUGUUUUGACGUUACCAACAGAAUAAGCACCGGCUAACUUCGUG
rnacentral:rRNA from 1 species